GGAUGAAGAACGCAGCGAAAUGCGAUAAGUAAUGUGAAUUGCAGAAUUCAGUGAAUCAUCGAAUCUUUGAACGCACAUUGCGCCCGCCAGCAUUCUGGCGGGCAUGCCUGUUCGAGCGUCAUUUCAACCCUCGAGCCCCCCCGGGGGCCUCGGUGUUGGGGGACGGCACACCAGCCGCCCCCGAAAUGCAGUGGCGACCUCGCCGCAGCCUCCCCUGCGUAGUAGCACACACCUCGCACCGGAGCGCGGAGACGGUCACGCCGUAAAACGCCCAACUUCUUAGAGUUGACCUCGGAUCAGGUAGGAAUACCCGCUGAACUUAAGCAUAUCAAUAAGCGGAGGA
rnacentral:misc_RNA from 1 species